CCUACGGGAGGCAGCAGUGGGGAAUAUUGGGCAAUGGGCGCAAGCCUGACCCAGCGACGCCGCGUGAAGGAAGAAGUAUUUCGGUUUGUAAACUUCUUUUAUCAGGGACGAAACAAAUGACGGUACCUGACGAAUAAGCCCCGGCUAACUACGUGCCAGCAGCCGCGGUAAUACGUAGGUGGCAAGCGUUAUCCGGAUUUACUGGGUGUAAAGGGCGUGUAGGCGGGAAUGCAAGUCAGAUGUGAAAACCAGGGGCUCAACCUGUGGACUGCAUUUGAAACUGUAUGGCUUGAGUACAGGAGAGGCAGACGGAAUUCCUAGUGUAGCGGUGAAAUGCGUAGAUAUUAGGAGGAACACCAGUGGCGAAGGCGGUUUGCUGGACAGCAACUGACGUUGAGGCGCGAAAGCGUGGGGAGCAAACAGGAUUAGAUACCCUAGUAGUC
rnacentral:rRNA from 1 species